AGGAUUAGAUACCUGGUAGUCCACGCCGUAAACGAUGGAUGCUAGUUGUCAGGCAGCAUGCUGUUUGGUGACGCAGCUAACGCAUUAAGCAUCCCGCCUGGGGAGUACGGCCGCAAGGUUAAAACUCAAAGAAAUUGACGGGGGCCCGCACAAGCGGUGGAGCAUGUGGUUUAAUUCGAAGCAACGCGCAGAACCUUACCUACCCUUGACAUACCAAUCGCGGAUUACAGAGAUGUUUUCCUU
rnacentral:rRNA from 1 species